rnacentral:misc_RNA from 1 species
UAAAUGCCUAAAAAAUAAAGCCUUGGUCUGCAUUUGGAUCUGACAUAUUUCUGUGCAAAUUUUAGUUGUCUUUUUUUAAUCAAAAUGUUUGGGGACUCUAUUGUGGCUAUACUAAUGUUAUUUACAUAGUUUAUGCAUGAUAGGCAUCAUAAAUUUUCAUUUAUCCACAUGACUCCAUAUUCUCCCAAGAGUUGGAACUGUAAGAAGUGAAAGAAGCUUGAAUAAGAGACUAUUCUCUAAAAUUGUAAUGUAUCUUGUGGGUUUUUAAGAUAAUGAGUUUAAACAUUUGACUUGAGAUUGGAAUAUUUUAAUAGCACAUUUAUGUAGAAGUUUUUUUGGAAGUCUUUAGCCUAAUUUUGGAGACUAUUUUGGUGAAUAUAUGUGAUUCAGGGCUCUGCAAUGAAUGGGCAUUAGGUUAGGUAUCUUUUGGUCUGUCUUGAAUUCAGAAAGAAAGAUUUCAUAAGAUUUAGAUGAGGGUUCUAAGAAUGACAUAAGAUUUUAUGUGAUUAUAAACUUACUUCAGAUCUUUAUGAUCUCUCCCCUUCCAUAACCUAGAUACUGUGUUAUGUGCUCUUUUUGUGUUUGGUCCCUUCUCUUGUAUUUCCUUGUUUCAUUUUUCAUUAAUAUGAAGAAUCCUAGUUUAGAUUAUGUUAGCAUUCUUAGACUCUGUUUGGAUGGGUGAGGGAAGGGUAAUUAAUAAAAGGGUGUGGGAGGUAACAAGGGUGAAGAGUGAGGAGGUUUACAACUACAACAACAACAACAAUAACAAUAAUAAUAAUAAUAAUGCAACCUUAUUUCAAAGCAACAAACAGCAAAAUCAAAGCUUUUCCAGCAGCUUUUCUUUCCUCAAUUAUCUAUUCUGAAAGCUGACAUAUUACCCUUUAGCAGUUUUGAACUCUCAUUUUCUUUUUUCUAAUUUAACUCUAAAUUUUCUCCCUUACUUCUCUUUUUGGGUGCAGAUAAAAGAGCUUCCUUCCACUCUCACCGGAAAAGAAACUUUGUAAUUCGCUGCAAACAUGCUGGAAUACGAAUGGGGAAACCCAUCAACGAUGAUGCUCUCUGGAGACGAACCCACCCAAGACCCAGACCAGAACCGCCAGAUUUUCGAUCAUUACACUGCUCAAUCCUUCAACGGUAACCUUGUUCCCCAACCCACUACAGCUUUAUUUCACCACCCAACAACACAUCAGGUCAACUGUCUUUAUGACCCACGAGCCUACGCCAGCGCCACCUCCUACACACCUUCCCAUCCUUCCCUCCUCUCCGUAGACCCCAUCCCCAACCCCGCAGGAGCCGGUCCCUCAUAUUUCCUCGUUCCAAAGAGCGAGGAGGUCUCUCGACCCUCAGAUUAUUCGGCGAGGAUUGGGCUGAAUUUGGGCGGUCGGACCUACUUCUCUUCAUCGGAGGAUGAUUUCGUGAAUCGCCUUUAUCGCCGGUCCAGACCGGUGGAGGCCGGUUCGUCGAAUGCACCCAGGUGCCAAGCUGAGGGGUGCAAUGCCGAUCUGACCCACGCAAAGCACUACCAUAGGCGCCACAAGGUCUGCGAAUUUCACUCAAAAGCGUCUACCGUCAUAGCUGCCGGUUUGACUCAACGAUUCUGCCAGCAAUGUAGCAGAUUCCAUCUCCUUUCAGAAUUCGAUAAUGGAAAGCGCAGUUGCAGAAAGAGAUUGGCCGAUCACAAUCGCCGCCGCCGAAAAUCACACCAGAUAAAUCAAGAAAAUCACAGGUCACAAUCGGCAGAAAAUGCCCGCAAUUCUCCUUCUGAGAAUCUCACAAGUUCUCCACCCGACUAUGCAGUUCAUAAUUCCUCGUCCUCGGUGACUGUGGCAGUAUCGCCGCCUCGAAUUUUUUUGGAUUGUUUCAAGCAUAGACCAUAUCAGGCUACUGCAUCUUCUUCCUCCGCCUCAUCAAGUUCACUGUUUUUCUCAAGUGGGUAGUACUCAUAGUGCCACUGAAAAUUUAAGGAGGCUUAUUUAGCAAUAACAUAGUCUUUACGUCUAAUUUUCC